AGAGUUUGAUCCUGGCUCAGGACGAACGCUGGCGGCGUGCUUAACACAUGCAAGUCGAACGGAAAGGCCCUUUCGGGGGUACUCGAGUGGCGAACGGGUGAGUAACACGUGGGUGAUCUGCCCUGCACUUUGGGAUAAGCCUGGGAAACUGGGUCUAAUACCGGAUAGGACUACGCGAUGCAUGUCGUGUGGUGGAAAGCUUUUGCGGUGUGGGAUGGGCCCGCGGCCUAUCAGCUUGCUGGUGGGGUGAUGGCCUACCAAGGCGACGACGGGUAGCCGGCCUGAGAGGGCGACCGGCCACACUGGGACUGAGAUACGGCCCAGACUCCUACGGGAGGCAGCAGUGGGGAAUAUUGCACAAUGGGCGCAAGCCUGAUGCAGCGACGCCGCGUGAGGGAUGACGGCCUUCGGGUUGUAAACCUCUUUCAGUAGGGACGAAGCGAAAGUGACGGUACCUACAGAAGAAGGACCGGCCAACUACGUGCCAGCAGCCGCGGUAAUACGUAGGGUCCGAGCGUUGUCCGGAAUUACUGGGCGUAAAGAGCUCGUAGGUGGUUUGUCGCGUUGUUCGUGAAAACUCACAGCUUAACUGUGGGCGUGCGGGCGAUACGGGCAGACUAGAGUACUGCAGGGGAGACUGGAAUUCCUGGUGUAGCGGUGGAAUGCGCAGAUAUCAGGAGGAACACCGGUGGCGAAGGCGGGUCUCUGGGCAGUAACUGACGCUGAGGAGCGAAAGCGUGGGUAGCGAACAGGAUUAGAUACCCUGGUAGUCC
rnacentral:rRNA from 1 species